CUAAAACUGCUGAGUGAACUGGAGGGAACUUCCCACCCGCCCGGCCAGUAUUGCAUAUAAAUAAGGCACACACACACACAAAUCCGUUGCAAAAUUCUUUAUGUGCAUGAUAUGAUCAGAAAGCAAGUUAUCAGGACAGCCGAGUUUGAUGACACUGGAAAAAAGAUUUCUGGAGUUUGAUGAAUGCUGAUUCCGGAAGAUGUGCACAAAGGAGAAAGUGGUUGCAGGGGGAGAGGCGUUCACUGCUCAGCUUCCUCAGCAUCUCCAAGUGGGGGGAAUCACUUGCCAAUGACACUUUGGCAGCAUUUCUGGUACCAACUGCACUUCCCAAUAGUUUUGGUCCCACGAGGACAGACGACGGAAUAACAUGCAGUACCACGACGACGUUCACAUUCUGCAUAGCUGUCGACGGCUUCAGUGACUCCUGGCCCUGCAGGAGUCCGAGAAGGAGAACGGCACACAGAAGAUAAAGGAACUUCAUCUUUGGUUCAGUUUGGGAUCCACUGUUGCUGCUGGGAGGGAUCAGACCCCUAUAAGUAUAACAAUAUCAAGAUUGCGUAAUAUUGGAUUCCUGGAUGUGACAGAUUUGUCACAGGUUGCUUCUAUUUGCUGUCCUUCCCCCUUUUUUCUCAUUAAUCAUUAAACUACUAGGGCAGGUUGGAUGAAGACAUCAGGUGGUGAUCAGCUUCCGAAUAGCUCGAUGGUUCGUGCAUCUGGCUGUGGAGCCAGAGGUUGGGAAUUCGAUUCCCCCACCGGGCCUCCUUGACAGGGACUGGACACCAUGAUCCAUGGGGCCCCUUCCAGCUCUGCCCUUCAGGCCAGUUGUUAAGGUGGCCACUAGUUUUCCUCCUCUUUUUUUAACAGAAGGUAAUGUUCCAUGUGAUAAUCCUUUAAUAUCCCUCUUGAUGUAUCUUUUCAUUCCAAGUCUGAUUUAAAGCUCAAAAUUCAGAAAUAGGGACACCAGAGACCCUGAUUUUGCCCUUCUGAGCUUAGUUGCGCCUAGACAUCGGACUUGGCUGGUGCCACAGCCCAUUUGAUCAUGGGCUUCCUCGCUUGCAUAAGAUGUAAUACAAAUCUGAUGAAAGGGUACAAAUGAUUCCUAAUUUUACAUUUGUAUUUGUAAAUCAGACUAUGUGUGUCAGUAUCUGACCUCCAGCGGAUCCACUGCAAUUAACACAGCUUCGUCUUGCACUUGGCCAACUAGCCUAAGGGUCUCCCCUGGUAUGAUUGAAUAUAUUGAAAGACUAUGUGGGGAAUGAGACAGGACUGGAACAGUUGGAUUUGCAGGUUUUCCCCAUUGAGCACACGAUGUGAAAGCAAAGGCAGAUCACCCCACAAACUUUCUCACACCUGGGAAGGAAGAUACGGAAGAGGCACAAGGGUCCAACAAAAUGGACGGAAAGCAGUACCACUGCAGUACCCAGGUAGCCUCCAGGUGCCUCGAACUGCCAGCUGAUUCGGAAAGGCUGA
rnacentral:lncRNA from 1 species